rfam:Torpedo marmorata ornithine decarboxylase antizyme (antizyme) mRNA, complete cds.
UGAUGCCCCUCACCCAUCAGUGAAGAUCCCGGGUGGGCGAGGGAACGGAAGGGAUC